GACGAACGCUGGCGGCGUGCUUAACACAUGCAAGUCGAACGGAAAGGCCCUGCUUGCCGGGUACUCGAGUGGCGAACGGGUGAGUAACACGUGGGUGAUCUGCCCUGCACUUCGGGAUAAGCCUGGGAAACUGGGUCUAAUACCGGAUAGGAGCCAUUUUUAGUGUGAUGGUUGGAAAGUUUUUUCGGUGUAGGAUGAGCUCGCGGCCUAUCAGCUUGUUGGUGGGGUAAUGGGCUACCAAGGCGGCGACGGGUAGCCGGCCUGAGAGGGUGGACGGCCACAUUGGGACUGGGAUACGGCCCAGACUCCUACGGGAGGCAGCAGUGGGGAAUAUUGCACAAUGGGCGCAAGCCUGAUGCAGCGACGCCGCGUGGGGGAUGACGGCCUUCGGGUUGUAAACGCCUUUCGCUAGGGACGAAGCUUUUUGUGACGGUACCUAGAUAAGAAGCACCGGCUAACUACGUG
rnacentral:rRNA from 1 species